GUGGAAAAGCCCUUCCCCCUUUUUAAGCAAUAACCAAAACAGAAGUUAAACAGGAAACAAUAAUAAGCCCCAACCAUUAACAAUAGAGUUACAACUAGUCACAGUUUACUGCAUACAUUUGACAGUAAGAGCCAAAGACUGCAUGAUGUUUUCUUCUAGGAUUUCCUGAUACUUCAAUGAAUCCAUCUUGCCUUCCACACACUGCAGGUUUCCAGUGCAAGAGGAUGCAAAGCAGCCCCAGAGCAUCACCGAGCCACCACCAUGCUUGACUGUGGACAGAGUGUUCUUUCUUUAUUAUUCUUCCUCCAGACAUACCGCUGAUACAUCGUGCCGAAAAGUUUCAAUUAAUUUCAUCGCUCCACAGAACAGAAUCCCAAAACUUCUGUGGUUUAUUUAUAUGAUUUUGAGACUUUUCUUGUGCUUUUGAGUCAGUAAUGGCGUACGUCUUGGAGUUCUGGCAUGGAAACCUUCUGCGUUUAGUACGCGUCUUACUGUGCUCACUGAAACCUCAGUGUCUGUUGCCACCAAGUCCCACUGCAGGUCUUUUGCAGUCACUCGAGGGUUUUUCACAACCUGCCUUCUCAGAAAUCCGGUUGUAGCCCUGUCCAGGUAUUUCAUGUGUUCCAGCUCAAGUACACCUGGUGCAACUAUUGAAGCCGUUGAUUAGUUACAUCAGGUGUGCUUAAGACAGCACGUGUUUUGCAUAUUUGUACUAUUGUGAGGGAUUCUAUUCAGGGGGGUGAAUAAUUUUGAAACUGGAGAAAUCAUUAUAAGUUGCAUUUUCAGUUGAAUUUGGAGAAACCACUUGAAGCAUUCGUUGUGGUGAAUUAUUUCAAUUGCAUUUGUUGGAUUUGUUCAUUGCAAACAGCUGAAAGUCUGUAAAUUUUGACAAUAAACCUGAUUUGCAAUGCGGGUUGAAUAAUUUUGAUUGCAACUGUAUAUCUAAAUUCACAAAUUACAUUAUGUCUACGAGCCAGGCAUGUUCAGAUGGGGGAUUAUGUGAUUUCCGAUGUACAAGUAUUUGCCUAUAACCUACAAGAGACGCAAAGCUUAUGGCAUUUAGUUUUGUUUUUUUUUUGCUUGGCAGAUAGAGGUAGUCUGGCAGGACUAAGAUAGCUACAUGGGGACAGGGCUGUAAGUCAAUGUCAUACCCUUACUGUCCAAAUUGUAGACUUCCAACUGUUCAUACUUCAAAAAUGAAAAGCUACAGAGAAACAUUUUGUAUGUCAUUAAAGUAAGUAACAUAUUAAAUAACAGGGUAAUAGUGUAUGGAGAAGACAAAGUCUCCAUAGGAACUGUGUGUUAAGUUCUCCACAGGAAAACAUACCAGCUAAUUUCCAUAUAGAAUCUCAUGACAAAGAACUGAUACCAAGUGCUGAUUUAACCCCUUAAACUUUAAACAUAAUUAUUAUUCAGUUAUUUAAAAUAAUUAUUAAGCACUGUGAAGUAUUCAGUAACUUCACUGAACUAGUUACUGAAGCCUGGACCUACUAAUGGGUCCUGUGAGUUUAAGGGGUCAAUAUGAAAUAAUUACAAGCCUACAAAUUUCUCUGUGCUUUAUCAAGAUAACUCAGUAUGCAUUGUGUUAAUUUAUUGUGCAUGAUAACCGAUUAGGCUCUGAUUCAGCCACUCAGGACCUGCUGCAUGAGAGAUUUCUGAGCUGAAGGUUAAUCCCAAGCCUUCAUAACUGGAAUAGCUGGAUAAGAGCAGCAGUUGUGUGUAUAUGUGUCACUGUGAACAUUUCACACGUUUGUCACAUGACUUCUUGUCACAUGUUCUUCCUACAGCUUUGUUAGCUUAAAAGUAGUACUGGAGUAUUAGCAGAGGUCAUUUUGAGAAAGUUUUGUGUCCAAAUGAAUUUCAGUAAGCAAGCCUAACAGCUUAUACUCUUUUAUAAACUUCCUCAGGAAUUCUUUACAAUUAACUAACAUUAUUACGUGUUAGUUACAUAAACUCUAAACUUCAACAUUAAUAAAUUGUCAUCGUUAACAAUUGGAUGAAUGCAUUUUUGUUUAAAUGAUAAGCAAAUACUAUUACAUUAACACCAUCUUAAGAGCACAUUAAUUUCCAAUGAAUAAAUUAAAGGAUAUUUAGGCAAAUAUUGAUAAUCAAACUCAGGUGUAAAUGUUGGAACAGCAUUUAGAUUCUAUACUAUAUCCACACAUUGGGACAUCCACACAUAUCCACACAUUGGGACAUCUUAGUCUUUGUGGUCUUUUUUUUAUUUCAAAUCAUAAAUUGAACUAAGUAUUGUUUAAUUCAUUAUUAUUCAUUAUUUGUUCCAUUUCUUUAUAAAAGAACUCUUAAUACAAGUGUUAUUUACUUUGUUAAUUUUACUUAUGGUGCAUUAUUGCUAAAGCUUAUGUAUUGUUAAUGCUAAUGAAUGCUGUACAGUCUGUUAAGGGCUCUUCAGUUGUCCCUCAGGGGGAGCACUUAAUGGUUCCAUACUGUGUUUCCUUAUCGAAUAGGGUUCCACACUAGAACUCUUUUAGAAAUGUAAAUAAAAAAAAAUAAAUAUGCUUAACUAUUCAAAGAACCACUGAAUAACCGUUUUUCUAAGAGUGUAAAUAAUAUUAGCUAGGAGAGUCUUAAUAUGAAGUGUCACCACUAAUAUGAAGAGCAUACAUGACUAUAGAUUUAACUUUCUAUAAUGAUUAAUACAUCUAAAAUGAUCUAAAAACACCUGGAUACAUUCAACUGAAGAAGCUGCUUUAGUUGACAUGAUUUUUUCUUUUAUUACAUUCUAAGACUUUCUCUUGUGCUUGACUUUUUUUUUUUUUAUCAUUCUUUAGCUCUUCCUACGCAGCAUGAGUACUGACAUUCAAGGUUGCUCACCUAGAGGAUAUGUGAUGUGUACAUAUGGUAGAGUAUAUUUGCAUAUGGAUAGUAGUUGGAUUUCUUGUAGCUUGCUGCUUGUGUUCUUACCCUAAAUAGCGAACUAACCACUUGGGGUGGACUUUAUAAAAUUUGAUUUAGGGCACUUCCUUGACAUUAUAUUUAUGACAUAAGCUGGCACAGCCACGUGUCCAUAUCUCAAAGAGGACUGGCCGCAGUAAAAAUCUUACAAUCUUUGAUAUGCUAGGCAUGCGCUAACAUUUGAUUCUUGUGACAGCUGUGCCAACACGGUAUAUCAAAUUCAUCGUCAGUCAUAGGAUAUUCUGCUGCCGGGUUAUUUUAGAAAGUAGCCUAUUAGUCGGUUGCUUAAGUGUAUAACUUGGUAAUCAGUUGAAGGGAUGCAUAUGUUAAUCGUAUGAGGGGAAGUGAUGGCUAAUAAUUAAAAGCUUGUGUGAUCAAAUCUUGGCACUGCUAAACUGCCACUGUUGGGCCAGUAAUCUUUAUUAAACAGCUGCUCUGCUCAAUUGCAAAUCUCUUUGGAUAAAAACAUCUACCAAAUGAAUAAAUGUGAAUACACUUGCAUGUGCUAUAAUAUAUUAUUUUACUUAAACCUAAGCUAAACAGUGAACUUAUUAGACUUUUUUUUUUUUUUAAAGAGUCGAGUGACAAAUCAAGAGACUUUUUGAGCAAUUGUUGAGUGACUGUCUGACACUUGAUACAGCUGUCUAGCUCACUUAACAGCUGCUGAUUAUAUGAGUUGAGAAAGCAGGUUCAGCUGACUCACCACCAGUGUUUUAAAGCCUGACUGGUUUGCUCUAGUGGGAGCCAUUAUUCCCAAUGACCAAUCACUGAUCAGCAUUGUUCCCAAUGACCAAUCACUCAUCAACCAUAUGUGUCCCACCCAUGCACUUCUUUGUUUUUUCCAUAUUAAACUCUCUUCUUGGCGAUAUUUAAUAACAGCGACUUAUUCCAUCCAUUAUGUUUCCUUUGUGUCUAUUACUACCAGUGCUUUUGCAUUUUAUAAAUGAUAGUAUUUUGAAAAUGUAUUUUGUAAAUAGUUCUUUAGUGGUACCACGACCAAAGAAUUCUUCUUUCUAUAAGAAGUACGUUAUAAUCUACUCGUAUUAUAUUGCAAUUUGAUAAAACUCAGAUUCUGUUCUAAGUGCGUUCAGAAAGUUUUCCUUCUUCAUGUAACACGUUUUAAUAUGCAAACGAUCGUGACAAAUUAGCAUAUGAUGUCAUUUGGCAACGUGAAAUUAGCAUCUUCUAGAGCCUUUUUGAGCAUGCGUGAUCUAUUUUUCCCCUGCAAAAAGUUGGCAACAUUGGCUCAAAUGCCCAGAAAUGGCUAAUCCCACAGUAAUCCACUGAGUGCGUGCUUAUGAAAUUCCAGUAUCCCAACAUGAGCUCGCAGAUUAGCGCCAAAGCGUCAUUUGGACAUUUUCUCACCUGCCGUAACUCCAUAUGAUCAGCCCACAGGUCGCUAUGAUUUAGCUGGGAACUCCUUGUUUCUUUACGCGGCUUCGGGCGUACAGAAAAAAUAAGGCAAGCAUAUUCCUUUUGGGGGAUAUCUUAACACCAUCUUCGUUUUAAUCUCACAUGAAGCAAAGAUGUGUCGCUCUGGAUAACCUGGGUUCAUGAAACGAAAUAAUUUCAAAAGUGUAGAAACAUUAGCUUGAUGUCGGGAGCAUAAGGGGAUUUUCUUUUCAACAUUUUAUUUAUUUAACAACACAAAAUGUUAUUGACCAGGAGCUUCAAGACAUUUUGACAAGACAUUUUUAUUUCCAAUAUUUGCAUAUAUUUGAUUUCCAGUAACUUUUCUACUACAACUGACAGCGUCCAAACGUUUGCUUGUGAUUGGAUUUUACUCUUACUUUUUGUCCACUUUUAGAUACACAAGUAAACACUCAAUGUAAUAUUUUAUACUUACUGUAGCCUACAUUGUAUCUUAGUAUCCUGUUGGAGGGAAGUGUCUUGAGCCAAACGGUUCUUCCGGAUCCGCAC
ensembl:lncRNA